rnacentral:rRNA from 1 species
UGGGGAAUCUUGCGCAAUGGGCGAAAGCCUGACGCAGCAACGCCGCGUGCGGGAUGAAGGCCCUCGGGUUGUAAACCGCUUUCAGUGGGGACGAACCAAGACGGUACCCACAGAAGAAGCCCCGGCCAACUACGUGCCAGCAGCCGCGGUAACACGUAGGGGGCAAGCGUUGUCCGGAUUUAUUGGGCGUAAAGAGCUCGUAGGCGGUUCGAUAAGUCGGGUGUGAAACCUCCAGGCUCAACCUGGAGACGCCACCCGAUACUGUCGUGACUAGAGUCCAGUAGGGGAGCGUGGAAUUCCUGGUGUAGCGGUGAAAUGCGCAGAUAUCAGGAGGAACACCAGCGGCGAAGGCGGCGCUCUGGGCUGGCACUGACGCUGAGGAGCGAAAGCGUGGGUAGCGAACA